GCGUCCGUAGCUCAUUUGACAGAGCGGUGGGAUGGUAUCCUACGGUCCCGGGUUCAAGUCGCGGCGGCCGCU